AUUAUACUUAUACAUAAAUUGGUGGUUAUGUUUCUCUUUGUGCUUUCAUACAUUAUUUUGGAUCUGCAAGAUUCUUCAUAUUUCCUUCCUUGAUUUUCAAAACAAACUACAAAAAUGACACGAUUAUGUUGUUAAUCACCUAUAUGCCUUAUCAUGAGAAAUUUAUUAUUCAACUAUGCCACUUCAUCCACACAGUUCUCUUUAAAUAUCUGGAUCCGUGUCAUGCUGAAGUAUAAGCUAUUUGCAGAUGAAAAAAGUUUUCUUUAUAAGUCGAAGAUAUCUCUAGCUAUUUGUGGUUUUGUCAUUUGUGACAUUAAAGUAGGAGCAAGUCUUAAAACCUUUUAAUACAACAUACAAUCAUGAUCUUUAGGUGCUUUAUCAUAUUAUCAUUAAGAUUUUACUUCUGUAUGUUGCAGUCAUCAUAACUGUA
rnacentral:misc_RNA from 1 species